AAAGGCGCGCGAUACAGGGUGACAGCCCCGUACACAAAAGCGCAUGUGCUGUGAGCUCGAUGAGUAGGGCGGGACACGUGGUAUCCUGUCUGAAUAUGGGGGGACCAUCCUCCAAGGCUAAAUACUCCUGACUGACCGAUAGUGAACCAGUACCGUGAGGGAAAGGCGAAAAGAACCCCGGCGAGGGGAGUGAAAAAGAACCUGAAACCGUGUACGUACAAGCAGUGGGAGCACAGGUUUACCUGUGUGACUGCGUACCUUUUGUAUAAUGGGUCAGCGACUUAUAUUCUGUAGCAAGGUUAACCGAAUAGGGGAGCCGGAGGGAAACCGAGUCUUAAUUGGGCGUUAAGUUGCAGGGUAUAGACCCGAAACCCGGUGAUCUAGCCAUGGGCAGGUUGAAGGUUGGGUAACACUAACUGGAGGACCGAACCGACUAAUGUUGAAAAAUUAGCGGAUGACCUGUGGCUGGGGGUGAAAGGCCAAUCAAACCGGGAGAUAGCUGGUUCUCCCCGAAAGCUAUUUAGGUAGCGCCUCGUGAAUUCAUCUCCGGGGGUAGAGCACUGUUUCGGCUAGGGGGCCAUCCCGGCUUACCAACCCGAUGCAAACUGCGAAUACCGGAGAAUGUUAUCACGGGAGACACACGGCGGGUGCUAACGUCCGUCGUGAAGAGGGAAACAACCCAGACCGCCAGCUAAGGUCCCAAAGUCAUGGUUAAGUGGGAAACGAUGUGGGAAGGCCCAGACAGCCAGGAUGUUGGCUUAGAAGCAGCCAUCAUUUAAAGAAAGCGUAAUAGCUCACUGGUCGAGUCGGCCUGCGCGGAAGAUGUAACGGGGCUAAACCAUGCACCGAAGCUGCGGCAGCGACGCUGAUGCGUUGUUGGGUAGGGGAGCGUUCUGUAAGCCUGCGAAGGUGGCCUGUGAGGGUUGCUGGAGGUAUCAGAAGUGCGAAUGCUGACAUAAGUAACGAUAAAGCGGGUGAAAAGCCCGCUCGCCGGAAGACCAAGGGUUCCUGUCCAACGUUAAUCGGGGCAGGGUGAGUCGACCCCUAAGGCGAGGCCGAAAGGCGUAGUCGAUGGGAAACGGGUUAAUAUUCCCGUACUUGGUGUUACUGCGAAGGGGGGACGGAGAAGGCUAUGUUGGCCGGGCGACGGUUGUCCCGGUUUAAGCGUGUAGGUGUGUGUUCCAGGUAAAUCCGGUUCACUUUAACACUGAGGCGUGAUGACGAGGCACUACGGUGCUGAAGCAACAAAUGCCCUGCUUCCAGGAAAAGCCUCUAAGCAUCAGGUAACAUCAAAUCGUACCCCAAACCGACACAGGUGGUCAGGUAGAGAAUACCAAGGCGCUUGAGAGAACUCGGGUGAAGGAACUAGGCAAAAUGGUGCCGUAACUUCGGGAGAAGGCACGCUGACACGUAGGUGAAGUGAUUUACUCAUGGAGCUGAAGUCAGUCGAAGAUACCAGCUGGCUGCAACUGUUUAUUAAAAACACAGCACUGUGCAAACACGAAAGUGGACGUAUACGGUGUGACGCCUGCCCGGUGCCGGAAGGUUAAUUGAUGGGGUCAGCGCAAGCGAAGCUCCUGAUCGAAGCCCCGGUAAACGGCGGCCGUAACUAUAACGGUCCUAAGGUAGCGAAAUUCCUUGUCGGGUAAGUUCCGACCUGCACGAAUGGCGUAAUGAUGGCCAGGCUGUCUCCACCCGAGACUCAGUGAAAUUGAACUCGCUGUGAAGAUGCAGUGUACCCGCGGCAAGACGGAAAGACCCCGUGAACCUUUACUAUAGCUUGACACUGAACAUUGAGCCUUGAUGUGUAGGAUAGGUGGGAGGCUUUGAAGUGUGGACGCCAGUCUGCAUGGAGCCGGCCUUGAAAUACCACCCUUUAAUGUUUGAUGUUCUAACGUGGACCCGUGAUCCGGGUUGCGGACAGUGUCUGGUGGGUAGUUUGACUGGGGCGGUCUCCUCCUAAAGAGUAACGGAGGAGCACGAAGGUUGGCUAAUCCUGGUCGGACAUCAGGAGGUUAGUGCAAUGGCAUAAGCCAGCUUGACUGCGAGCGUGACGGCGCGAGCAGGUGCGAAAGCAGGUCAUAGUGAUCCGGUGGUUCUGAAUGGAAGGGCCAUCGCUCAACGGAUAAAAGGUACUCCGGGGAUAACAGGCUGAUACCGCCCAAGAGUUCAUAUCGACGGCGGUGUUUGGCACCUCGAUGUCGGCUCAUCACAUCCUGGGGCUGAAGUAGGUCCCAAGGGUAUGGCUGUUCGCCAUUUAAAGUGGUACGCGAGCUGGGUUUAGAACGUCGUGAGACAGUUCGGUCCCUAUCUGCCGUGGGCGCUGGAGAACUGAGGGGGGCUGCUCCUAGUACGAGAGGACCGGAGUGGACGCAUCACUGGUGUUCGGGUUGUCAUGCCAAUGGCACUGCCCGGUAGCUAAAUGCGGAAGAGAUAAGUGCUGAAAGCAUCUAAGCACGAAACUUGCCCCGAGAUGAGUUCUCCCUGAGACUUAGAGUCUCCUGAAGGAACGUUGAAGACGACGACGUUGAUAGGCCGGGUGUGUAAGCGCAGCGAUGCGUUGAGCUAACCGGUACUAAUGAACCGUGAGGCUUAACCUUACA
rnacentral:rRNA from 2 species